rnacentral:tRNA from 1 species
GCGGGCGUAGUUCAACGAGAACGGGAGCCUUCCCGGCUUCAGGUAAGGGUUCGACGCCCUUCGUCCGCUCCA